AACCGGAAGUAGGAACUAGUAGAAGAUGUUGGAUCACAGGUGAUCUCCGAGAGACUGUUGGACCCUCAGAGCCUUUAACAGACAGCUGGGUGGGCCGAACCAGUUACCAGAAUGAAAACUAGGUCCGUAAAACAUUUCAUUUAACCCCGCACUGCUGAAGCUGAGUUCGGCUGUUUGCUUCGGAAAAAGAGGCUAAUUUUCCUCCCAGAACCGGAGCCAGCAGCCUACAGGAGCCGCUGAGGACACAGAGACAGAGGGACAGACAGGGAUCAGCUCAAAUAGUGCAAGAUUGAUAGAAGAGGAGAGAGGAAGGAGAUG